UGCAAAAAACAGUGAUGUAAUGUUUGAAUUUAAUGGUUGUACUAGAGCAGAUGCUGAUUUAUGGCAUAGUUUAUAUGAACAAUGUGAUCAUGCAAACCAACUAUUGGAUAAGAAAUUAUUAUGCAUAAACCAGCUGCAGUGCUGUGGUGACUCCAGUUCUAAAUUAUCCUUCUUGAACCUUAGCGAAGUGUGUCCGAAACGUGACAAUAUACUAGAGCAAUUCACCAUAGAGGACUGCCACCAGAAAAUUGAUGCUCUGUUCUCAACCAAGCUCUAUCUGGUUGGCAUCGCUGCUGUCGUUGUGGCCGUUAUCAUGAUCAUCGAGAUGAUACUCAGUAUGGUCCUGUGCUGUGGCAUCCGAAUUUAUUCAGUAUACUAAGCAAUGCCUUUAUUCUCCUGUGUAUAUAACUCCCUCAAACCCUCCCACAACUCCCUUUUUGUUUUUUCUAAAUAUUCUGCCCUCUUGGUGAUCGAGUCAAUGUCCAGCCGGUGCAGUGAAUUCCUUGCUCGGACUUCACAGCCGGUGCAGUGAAUUCCUUGCUCGGACUUUCUCUAUGUUUUUAUGAGCAGUGCUCUAGAUAUUUCUUCAGCACGACACUCAGGAAUUCGGGUGCCCUCGAAUGUAUAUGGCCUGCUUGUAGGGCUCUGACUUCCAGUUUACAGCGUCUGCGCUCAGAAGGACGCGUCAUCUUGUGUUUGCCACACAAUGAGAUCCUAAAGAGUUGGGCAGCUGAAUUUAGCCUUGUGGUAAAAAUAAGCGCGUGCGCGUCCAGCUGCUCUUUACGAUCUCAUUGCUGUAGAGUCAUGAUCUCUCCUGUUUCACGUGUAAAAGAUGUUGUGUUUGUACAGUUUGGGAGAGGAGUAAAUCCAUAUUCCUUGCACGAUGGCCCCUUUUCCUACACUCCAUCAUUACAUAGUAAAUAUAUAUAAAUAUCAACAUGUAAAAAGAUUCUGAUUAAAAUCCUUUGGGGGCUUUUUCCCUACUCCAAAGUCUGAUUCAUUUAUUUAUGGGGUGAGGGUAUGGGGAUGAUGGGAAUUUACAAUGUGGAUGUGAAUUAAUUCCCCCAGGCAAAUUGUGAGUUGAAAACAGACAAAAAUAAUCAAGAAAAUAAAACUUUUCGUCUGUAUUUGUGCCAGAAAAUAUCCAGUUUUAGCGACAUUUUGGUCCCCCGACAUCACUCGCCACCUAAGGUAAUCAAAAAAAGAAAAAUUUUGAAUAUUUGUAAAAAAUUUUGCAUCCAAUCCUUUUUAAGAAGGAAGUAUAUUUAUACAUACAUCUAUCUCUGGGUUUUUAUUACAUAUUCAUUGUAUGCUUUGUAUUUUGUAUGUAGUUUACGUUUUUAAUAUUAAUACUAGUUAGUUUUAUGUGUAUAUGUUUUCUUAAAUGGUUUUUUGUUAUAAUGGUAAGAUUUCGGGAUGUUGUAAAGACUUGCAAGAUAGGAAAAUGUGGACUCUGUAACAUAAGUGAUACGACAGUGCCAUCUUCUGGUGGUUACACAAAAGGACUUUUGCCUUAAAGACAAAGAACUCUUUUCUCAUUGGUUCAAAGUUCAUCAAAGGAAUUCUUCAGGAAAAUUUGUAUAAAUGGACUGCUCUCAAACAGCAGUGCAGCUCAUCUUGACUUCUGAUACCAUCAAGAACCUGAACAUCCAGAGCUCACAUAUAAACGCCGGGAAAACAACUAUUCACCAGAGGAAAAGGAAAGGUAUUAAAUUACCACUACUGGGGAAAGAAAUAGAUUGUCUUUUAAAGCAUUUUUGUUUGUAGUUUUUAAGAACUGUUAUAUACAAGUCAUACUCUCUGUCUUGCAUUGCUUGAAUAAAUCCUUCCAUUGCUAAGCCUAAAUUGGACUGAAUUGUUGUUAGACGGAUCAAAUUUCUAACAGAUUUGGCAACCCAGCCAGUUUUUGCUAUUUCCCCAAUCUUGGGAGCAAACCCCAUAUUUUUUUCCUGUUCAGCAGGAGGUUUAAGAUUAAAACUUUCAGGUUUAAAUCUUAAAAAAGGGGGGAGUUCGAUAACCACAGAGAGUUAUCUAAAUAACCACAGAGAGUUAUUCAAGAGAAGAGGAUUUUUUUGCAAAGUAAAAGAACCUAGAGUCAGCAGUCCAUUGGGCAAAGAAAGGAAGGGGAGAAGAAAAACAGUGGCCACUGUGUAAAGCGGGAAGACGCGUUGUAUCUUCAUAUUUUUUCUUGGAUCCACGGAGAGAUUCAAGAGGCGUAGUAUCCUUCCUUAAAAGAGUGCACAUUUUAAAGGCAAAGGGACUACGAAACUUCAUAUCAGGACUGCCACCAGAAAAUUGAUGCUCUGUUCUCAACCAAGCUCUAUCUGGUUGGCAUCGCUGCUGUCGUUGUGGCCGUUAUCAUGAUCAUCGAGAUGAUACUCAGUAUGGUCCUGUGCUGUGGCAUCCGAAUUUAUUCAGUAUACUAAGCAAUGCCUUUAUUCUCCUGUGUAUAUAACUCCCUCAAACCCUCCCACGACUCCCUUUUUGUUUUUUCUAAAUAUUCUGCCCUCUUGGUGAUCGAGUCAAUGUCCAGCCGACUUUCUCUAUGUUUUUAUGAGCAGUGCUCUAGAUAUUUCUUCAGCACGACACUCAGGAAUUCGGGUGCCCUCGAAUGUAUAUGGCCUGCUUGUAGGGCUCUGACUUCCAGUUUACAGCGUCUGCGCUCAGAAGGACGCGUCAUCUUGUGUUUGCCACACAAUGAGAUCCUAAAGAGUUGGGCAGCUGAAUUUAGCCUUGUGGUAAAACUAAGCGCGUGCGCGUCCAGCUGCUCUUUAAGAUCUCAUUGCUGUAGAGUCAUGAUCUCUCCUGUUUCACGUGUAAAAGAUGUUGUGUUUGUACCGUUUGGGAGAGGAGUAAAUCCAUAUUCCUUGCACAAUGGCCCCUUUUCCUACACUCCAUCAUUACAUAGUAAAUAUAUAUAAAUAUCAACAUGUAAAAAGAUUCUGAUUAAAAUCCUUUGGGGGCUUUUUCCCUA